AUACUUACCUGGCAGGGGAGACACCAUGAUCAGGAAAGGUGGUUCACCCAGGGCGAGCUCUGCCAUUGCACUGAGGCAGUACUGACCCUUGCGAAUUCCCCAAAUGUGGGAAUCUCGACUGCAUAAUUUCUGUUAGUGGGGGACUGCGUACGCGCUCUCCCCUG
rnacentral:snRNA from 1 species